rnacentral:rRNA from 1 species
CGCUGGCGGCGUGCUUAACACAUGCAAGUCGAACGGUGAACCAGAGCUUGCUCUGGGGAUCAGUGGCGAACGGGUGAGUAACACGUGGGCAACCUGCCCCAGACUCUGGGAUAACCUCGGGAAACCGAUGCUAAUACCGGAUACGACCACUUCGGACAUCCGACGGUGGUGGAAAGUUUUUCGGUCUGGGAUGGGCCCGCGGCCUAUCAGCUAGUUGGUGGGGUAAUGGCCACCAAGGCGACGACGGGUAGUCGGCCUGAGAGGGCGACCGGCCACACUGGAACUGAGACACGGUCCAGACUCCUACGGGAGGCAGCAGUGGGGAAUAUUGCACAAUGGGCGAAAGCCUGAUGCAGCGACGCCGCGUGAGGGACGACGGCCUUCGGGUUGUAAACCUCUUUCAGCAGGGACGAAGCGAAAGUGACUGUACCUGCAGAAGAAGCACCGGCUAACUACGUG